GUUGAAGAACGUAGCGAAAUGCGAUAAGUAGUGUGAAUUGCAGAAUUCAGUGAAUCAUCGAAUCUUUGAACGCACAUUGCGCCCCUUGGUAUCCCGAGGGGCAUGCCUGUUCGAGCGUCAUUUCACCACUCAAGCCUGGCUUGGUGUUGGGCGACGUCCCCUUUGGGGACGCGCCUCGAAACGCUCGGCGGCGUGGCACCGGCUUUAAGCGUAGCAGAAUCUUUCGCUUUGGAAGUCGGGGCCCCGUCUGCCGGAAGACCUACUCGCAAGGUUGACCUCGGAUCAGGCAGGGAUACCCGCUGAACUUAAGCAUAUCAAUAAGCGGAGGA
rnacentral:misc_RNA from 1 species